UACAAACACCGAGGACCUGAGACUUUACAAAUAAACUCCAGCUGGUUGGAGAUUCAUUUCUUUUGUGAAAAAAAGAAGUAAAAAGUAAACAACAAUGAAGAAGUUAGUUUCUAUGGCAACAUGUCAAGGAAUGCAAAGUUAUGCAGAGUUGGUACAAAGGUCAAGAUCACCAGUGACCCCCGAGGAGCCCUCUGUAUCAAAAUGCCCCUGGGGUUUCAUCACAGAGCAACAAAGAAUGAGGAUUUGACAGGUCAGCUUGACUCCAGUGAUUUCCUUCAUCCGGGGCUGACAUGAGAAAAUAAACAGAUGCUUCCCUGAAAUUGACAAACGUUCUGUCAUCAUAUGAUGAGAGCAAUGAGGCCAUCUAGAUGUUGGAAAAAGCAGCUAAGCACCUAAUUAUAAUAGCAUUCGUUCUCUAUAGAACAGGUCACUUAGGUGGAAAAUAUUAGCAUGGAUACAGCUUAAGAUCUAUAAAUAGUCUAUGAAAGUGGCAGAACAAAAGCUGACAACAACUAUGUGAGUAGAAUGUAAAAUAAGUAUCAAAAUAUCUCUGGGAAA